GACGAUUAUGGAUCGAAUAUCGUUCCAUAGACCUACCGCGAAACGCAAUUUUCGGAGUUUUUGACAGCACGAAAUUCGUAAAGAACUGUCAAAACACACGUUACCUCAAGAGCUAACGUUGUUCUUUCGUUUAUCACAGUGCUGCCAGAUAACUCACCUUUCAGCUUUUUAUCCCGUUUUUGUGGCAGUGAAUCCGCGCAUUGUUUUGCAAAUAUUUUGAAUGUCCUCGGUUUUUGAGCACUGCAGCGGGAUGAAUAAAUAGAUAUUUGGGGAUUAUGCUCGAUCAACUCGCAGUUUCAAAGCAGUGCUCCUGUUUUUUCAAUUUCAUGACCUGGCAAUUUCAUUCUGUCAUAAUAGGGUAUCAUGCCCUUCGUGUAUCUUAUUAUUAUAGUUGAUUGUGUCGUGCUGCGUGAAAUUGUACUGUUUGUUUGUGAACUAUUACAAAGAUGUUUCUGUCGCAAGAGAACCUGGCUGAAGAAAUCCGGCAACAAGCCGCUUCUAUAGGUGCCUAAUGCGAGAAAAAUUCCGCUAAGUGAAAGUUCUGGACGCGGAGUUUGUAAAUACCACGCUGCAUAUUUCCACAUCCACGACGAAAUAGCUGUAGGACCCUGUUCAAUAAGGCAGAUUAUCAAGAUGAAGUGGGCCGGGACCAAAUGGAUGCCUGUUUCUCAGCAAGCGGUGUCCAACUGCUAAAUUACCCCGGUCUUAUCAGUAUGGGCUAUCAUUAAAGCCGGGGGUUUUCGAUGCACACAUGUGACCCUUCAUGGGCCAUAGGAAUAUGAAGACCGCU